GCUGCGGUAGCUGAAUGGUAGAGCUCUCCCUUGGUAAGGGAGAGGUCGAGAGUUCAAUCCUCUCUCGCAGCACCA
rnacentral:tRNA from 1 species